rnacentral:lncRNA from 1 species
AAAAAAAAAAAAAAAAAAAAAGAAAGAAAGAAAGAAAAAGAAAUCACUUAUACCUGGUUAUUCAGGCUCUCCAGGAUGUCCUGCCCCUCACCCUCGCCCCACCUGCCUUUUCCACCUCCACCCACACCACCAGCCACCUUGAGAUUCUGACGUAGUAGAUUUGGGGCAGGGCCCAGAUUUUAACAACCUUCUCCUUCCCAGGCUUCCCUAGGAGUGAAAAAAUUUAGAAAGUAGCCAGGUGUGGUAAGUAGCACUCGCCUGUAGUGAUAGCUACUCUGGAGGCUGAGGUGGGAGGAUUGCUUGAGCCUGGGAGGUCCAGGCUGCAGUGAGACAUGAUUGUGCCACUGUACUCCAGCCUGGAUGACAGAGUGAGACCCUGUCUCAAAAUAAAUAAAUAAAUAAAUAAGAAAAAGAAAACCAGAAAACAGGCUCUCCUCACUUUGUAAGGCACUGUAUUCAUGGAAACUCAUUUGUGUCAGAACCGUGUCCUCAUUUUUCAUGGUUCCAUGGUAACCAAGGUGAGGUCUCAGUUAACAUGAGAUAUACUAUCACAUUGAGAAAAAAAGAAAAAAAGAACCAUACAAAGCAAGGACUGCCUGUUUACACAUGUGCACACACACAUGAAAAACCACAGUCUAUAAUUCAACAGAAAAUUCAUCAAGUACAGUGCAAGGUGGCUGUCAGAAGACAAAGAUGCAGAAGGAGCUGGAGUUAGUUGGGAAGGGCUUCCUGGCAGAAGCUAGUUUUGAUCAGAGUUUUAAAAGGUUGGAAGAACUCGGGCUGUCAGAAAAGUCACAGGGGAAUGUUGGGUGUUAUUUUAUUUCAGGAUUCUGAUACCUACUCUACCACUUGCUGGCUAUGCCAUCUUCACCUACUUGCACCUGUUUUCUCUUCUGUGGAUAGGUGAUCAUACAUCCCAGUUUGCCUGGGAACACCUAGACCUAAUCAACCGCAGGAGCCACUUGCACUCUCAAAGGUGGCCUGGUUUGUAUUAAAAACACUGGGGGGCCUGGCGCAGUGGCUCACGCCUGUUAUCCCGGCACUUUGGGAGGUUGAGGCGGGUGGAUCAUGAGGUCAGGAGUUCGAGACCAGCCUGGCCAACAUAGUGAAACCCCGUCUCUACUAAAAAUACAAAAAUUAGCCGGGCAUGGUGGCAGGCACCUGUAGUCCCAGCUACUCGGGAGGCUGAGGCAGGAGAAUUGCUUGAAACCGGAAGGCAGAGGUUGCAGUGAGCUGAGAUCGCGCCACUGCACUCCAGCCUGGGCGAAAGAGCGAAACUCCAUCUUAAAAAAAUAAAUAAAAAAUAAAAAUAAAAAUAAAAACAUUGGGAUUGUCUUUAUGUUUUACUUUAUUUAUUUACUUUUUGAGACAGAGUCUUGCUCUGUCACCCAGGCUGGAGUGCAGUGGCAUGAUCGGCUCACUGGAACCUCCACCUCCUGGGUUCAAGUGAUUCUCGUGCCACAGCCACCCGAAUAGCUGGGACUACAGGCAUGUGCCAUCACACCUGGCUAAUUUUUUUGUACUUUUGAUAGAGAUAGGGUUUUGCCAUGUUGGCCAGGCUGGUCUUGAAAUCCUGACCUCAAGUGAUCAGCCCGCCUUGGCCUCCAAAAGUGUUGGGACUACAGGUGUGAGCCACUGCUCCCAGCCUACUUUUCACUUUCCAAAUAUUAAGUUAUAACAUCAUAUUAAAUAUGCAUUUCAAAUGGCAAUUUCUCUGGAGAUUCUGAUACUCAACUAUCUUAUGGUGGGGCAUUCUCUGAAUAGAGAACCACCUGACUGGGGCACCACUGAGUCAUUUCCAGGCAAUUCAGCCUAAGGUUUUACAGCAAGGACUCUGGAAUCAGAUCGAGCUGGGAUUAUACCUAAAGACCACCACUGUGAGCUAUGUGACCUUGACAUUCAUUUACAACUGCCCCUUUCCCAAUUUGGACAGCCAGUUUUCUCAUUAAUGCAAUUAAGCUGAUAGUAAUGCACCAUCUGUAGAAUUGUUCAGCUGAUUAGAUGGUAUAUAAAAUCCUUAGCACAAAACCUUUCAUAAAAUAGUAAUUUCUUAAAUGACAGUUUUGGUCGGGCCUGGUGGCUCACGCCUGUAAUUCCAGCACUUUGGGAGACCAAGGCGGGUGGAUCAUCUGAGGUCAGGAGUUGGAGACCAGCCUGGCCAACAUGAUGAAACCCCAUCUCUAGUAAAAAUACAAAAAUUAGCCGGGCAUGGUGGUGGGCGCCUGUAAUCCCAGCUACUUAAGAGGCUGAGGCAAGAGAAUCGCAUGAACCCGGGAGGCGGAGGUUGCGGUGAGCCGAGAUCGCGCCACUGCAUUCCAACUUGGUGAUAGAGCGAGACUCUGUCUCAAAAAAAAAAAAAAAAAAAAAAAAAGGCAGUUUUUUAAAAAAUCUGAGAAUUGUGUUUAAACUGCACAGAGUUUAUUUGGGUUUGAUACUUCGAGACAGUAAGAGUGGAGACACUAUAGUGUGUAGACCACCCUAUCAGCUGUGUUGCGAGUGGGGGCUGAUCUCCAGUACAAACUAUCCCCAAAUUAGAUAGUGAAAGAACAAAAUAUGCAGCCAUUGACUGAAAAGAUGCAACUACCCAGGGUUUGGUUGUAUGUAUACCCUGUUAUGACUUGCAGUGUUUCUGUCUCUGUGCCAUUUUUUUUUUAAAGGUUGUUGCCUCAGAGCAAGACAGCAUGAAAUUGUGGGGAAAAUUUAAAGCAUGCUUCAUCCUUCAUGGCUUUUUAGUUGCAAGAAGCAGAAGCUCCUACUGGCUAAUUUAGAGGAAUUUUCUAGAAGGGUGUUGGAGAGCUCUAGAACUGAUGGAGAUAGGGAAGCCAGGGUAGAGACAGGUUUGACCCAGGCAGCGCCAAGUGUUUAGAGAGCUGGAUGACUCAGUCACUCCAGGGACAGGCACCAGAAGAGAUGUGCUCUGUUUAGGGUCAUUCCAGUUAAGUAAGAUUCAAAGUCUGGCCGGGUGCAGUGGUUCACGCCUGUAAUCCCAGCACUUUGGGAGGCCAAGGCGGUCAGAUCACACAGUCAAGAGAUCGAGACCAUCCUGGCCAACAUGGUGAAACCCCGUUUCUACUAAAAAUGCAAAACUUAGCUGGGCAUAGUGGCAUGCACCUGUAGUCCCAGCUAUUUGGGAGGCUGAGGCAUGAGAAUCACUUGAACCUGGGAGGUGGAGGUUGCAAUGAGCCGAGAUCAUGCCACUGCACUCCAGCCUGGAGACAGGGCGAGACUCCAUCUCAAAAAAACACAAAACAAAACAAAACAAAACCAAAAACCAAAAAAAAACAAAAAAACAAAAA